CGACGGGUGAGUAAUGUCUGGGAAACUGCCCGAUGGAGGGGAUAACUACUGGAAACGGUAGCUAAUACCGCAUAACGUCGCAAGACCAAAGAGGGGGACCUUCGGGCCUCUUGCCAUCGGAUGUGCCCAGAUGGGAUUAGCUAGUAGGUGGGGUAACGGCUCACCUAGGCGACGAUCCCUAGCUGGUCUGAGAGGAUGACCAGCCACACUGGAACUGAGACACGGUCCAG
rnacentral:rRNA from 1 species